UGGUUGUAUGGUUAUUUAGCCGCAUGGAAUUUGUUUAGCCACUAAUAGCACAGAAUAUAUUAAGGUUGUGUACAAGUAAACAGCGUGCGGUUAAUUUAUUUGGCGCAUUUCGCCUGAAGCCCCUCGAAAUAUGUCGGAAACGAAUGAUAAUGCCAAUGCAGCGUCGCAGGAAGAAGACGACGCGGAAAAUGCAAACGCAGCGCUAGCAGAUGACGCACAAAUGGAUGAUAUUGUUUUUGCGGCAGCCUAUCAAAGCGAUGAAGAACAAGAGGCACAAGAGCAGGAUGCGGAAACAGAAACACAAAGCGAGGCUGAAGAGGCUGACGCGGAAGGCGAGGCAGAUGAUGCAGAGGGUGAAGCUGACGCUGACGGUGACGGUGACGCUGAAGUUGCCGAAGAUGACAGCAACGCUGAUGCGGACAAUACAAAUCCAGAAGACAAACGCUCGGCGGCCAAAAGAGAACUGACCCAGAUAAUUGAGAAAUGGGAACAGGAGCAAACACAAAGCGGCUAUGAUCCAGUGCCCACACUAAGAAGUCUGGCAGAGUUGUUCGAGCGUGAAAAGGAUGCCUAUAUGCGAAAAGAUCCCGAUCCCUUAGAUCUAAGACACCCAUAUCGGUCCGAUCCCAGCAGUCAGUAUGGAUUACUGUUAAAGCUGCUCUUUCGUAAAGAUCAAUUCAUGGGCAAAUUGCUCAACGAUUACUUGCGUGAAAACUUCUACAGUCGCCAGAAUGUGAGUCGCAGCUCCUUAGAGUUGAACAUUAUAGCCUGUCGCCUUAUAUUGGUAGUAAUGCCGGGCAUGGAGACCACGGCAGUGUUUCAAACCGCCGAGGAGGAUGGCAUCAUAAACCGUUUGUAUGCCUGGGCUGAGGACAGUAUAGAGCCCCUUCAAAGCUAUGCAACUGGUCUGUUGGCUUCUGCUAUGGAGGUUAGCGACAUUGCAAUUACCUGCCGUGAUCAAAAUAUGCGCUUGGUGCCCAAGAUGAUAAAUCGUCUGCAUCUACUGCUGGCCUGCAGCUGCAUGGGCAAACGCUCCGCGGGAGAUGCAAAUUCCUCACUCAACAGCAGCGCUGGCGGUGCUGGUGCCACAGAUAUGGUUAGUUGGAUAGCCUGUGGAGCUGGUGGUACCGCUGGUGCUGCCGCCUCUGCGCCGCAGUCGCCACAACAUCAAAAUGGCAACGCCUCCAAUAUGAGCAUACUCUUUGAGAACAGUCGUGAUGCCUUUCCCACGAGCAUGUCGCGUUACUAUAAGCGCAUGUAUAUACCACUGCAUCCACCCACCGCGGACACCAGCCAAAUGCUUAUACUACGCUUUCUCACAAGUCUGGGCGAAUAUCAGGAGUUCUUGGGCAUGGCCUUUGCUCACGAUGUCAUGUCGCUUAUCUUUGGGCAUCUGCAGGAUCUCGAUAGACGCGACACCUGUCUGGCCUAUGAGGUGCUCAAAUAUUUGGCCUCAUUGCUCUGCCAUAAGAAAUUUGCGCUCGAGUUUAUAUCACACGGCGGACUGGAGCUUUUAUUAAAUGUGCCACGCCCUAGCUUGGCCACCACGGGCGUCUCCAUAGCCAUAUAUUAUUUGGCUUAUUGUGAGGAUGCCAUGGAGCGCAUUUGCAGCAUGCCGCGUGCCUCGAUAUCCAAUUUGGUGCAUUAUGCGCUGUGGAUAUUGGGACGUUGUCACGACUCCUCCAAAUGCCAUGCCACCAUGUUCUUCAGUCUGAGUUUUCAGUUCAAAGUCAUACUGGAUGAGUUUGAUGCACACGACGGUCUGCGCAAGUUGUACAAUGUGAUAUCUGUGCUAAAGAUUUUGGAUCCAAGUCACAAUGACAUCGACAACGUCUCCGAUAUCAAUGAGGAUGUUGAAUGCGCCUCACGGCAAAUGGUGCGGCAUGUGUGCGUGGCACUCAAACGUUACAUGGAAGCGCAUUUCUUCUACAAAUACAACAACUUUCUCUGCCAGCAUUACGCGAGCAGCGCUGCCACCACAGCGCCCUACUUCAGCCAGCAGCCGACAGUGGCAGCCAAGCUAACCUUCGAUCAGCUGAACGAGCAAAUUCGCACGCUGCAGGAGCACACGUCAGUGCGUGCGCACUGGGCGCCCGUGGAUCAGCUGUUGAAACUGGGCGGCAUAUCAAUGAUGCUGCGCAUUAUUGCCUUUAGCUACGAUUGGGUAAACAGUGGACGCUCGGAGACCGUGCGCUCAGCGUUGGAUGUGCUCAGCGUCUGCUGCAUUGUACCGCGCGUUUAUCCUGUGCUCUGCGAGCGUCUGCAGAUGCUGGACAAGUCGACGACCUCGGGCUUUGGCUCUGUGCUGGGCGCUGCGGCGGGUGAAAUCAGCGCCGAUGCGGAGGUGCUCAAGUCAGCGCUGGCAGUGCUUUGUCACUGCGUCUGCUCGCCCAUCAUACGCAAGGAUAACGGCAACAGCAGUCUAAUGAAGUUUGGCAACUCUUCGAGGAAAAACAAAGCAAAUCAAAAGUUUGCCGAGGAGCUGAUAGAGAAAGUAUGGGAGUCUGUGUGCUCCAACAAUGGCAUUGUGGUAUUGCUGUCGCUUAUGCAGACCAAGGGACCCAUUACCGAUGUCGAUUGCAUACGUGGCAUGGCUUGCCGCGCCUUGGCUGGCCUGGCGCGCUCGGAGCGCGUGCGUCAAAUUGUGGGCAAACUGCCGUUGUUUGCAAGCGGACAGCUGCAAACGCUUAUGCGUGAUCCCAUACUGCAGGAGAAGCGUGCCGAGCAUGUCAUCUUUCAAAAGUAUGCGUUGGAGCUGCUGGAGCGCAUUUCCGGCAAAACAAAGCCGCUCAACAAUCCGCUAGAUCCUUCGCUGUCCAACAUGCACAAGGCCAAUGUUAUAGCCCAGACGCGCAUACAGUACAAUGAGCAGCAGCUUUAUCAGCUCAUCUUUGAGCAUCUGGAGAGCAAGGGCCUGACCCAAACGGCGCAAACGCUGCAACGCGAAGUGGGAUUGCCGCUGCAAACGACGACAACGCGUAAUUUCCAUCAGUCGCCCUUUGACUACAAGGGCUAUGCGGCAGUGAGCUCCAUGUCGCGCAGUCGUCUGCGCAGUCGCAUGCAGGAUGUCAAUGCGGCCAUUAUGUCGGGAGGCGAGGAGCCCAGCACGUCAUCGGCGGCGGCUGCUGCCAAUUGCUUGAGCGUGCCCAACUUUAACUACCUCAACACAACUCAGACGCCCAUCAAGCUGCGCAAGACGGAGCGUGCCACGCCCACAGUUUGUCGCUCGCUGCAAAAGCAAACGCUGGAAGCGAGCAGCGUCUGCUUGCCGGACGAGCUGACCGUCUCGCCAGUGCUGCAUCCCAAGCGCAUUACACUCAACACGAUUGUUACGGAAUAUUUAACCAAUCAACAUUCGCUGUGCAACAAUCCCGUCACCACUUGUCCGCAGUUCGAUCUUUACGAGCCACACAAGUGCCCCGAUCCGCGGCCCAGUCGCUUGCUCAGCUCCAACUACAAUCUCACCUCCAGACAUUAUCGCACUCAAGCGGGCUUCAAUACCGCGCGCUUCGAUCGUCGUCACGUGCACACGCACUUUGCACCUUGGCGCACCAUUCGCGCUACGGAUUACGACGAUCUGGAGUUCACUUGCUGUGAUUUGGUGGGAAAUUAUUUGAUUGUGGGCACGCAUCAGGGCGAGGGCAAGGUGUUCAACAUGAACGACGGCAUCGAGCAGUUCUCAUCCAUGUGCCAUCCCUACAGCGUGGAUGCCAUCAAAGCGAAUCGUGCAGGAGACCUGGUGCUGACCACCAGCUUGUGGCGCAAUCGCACCACCAUUCUCUGGUCCAUUGCCGAUAAUGAUUUUCGCUCCAAGCUGCGUCUGCCCGAGGUCACUUACUGUGAGUUUAGCCAGACCACACAGGAUCGUCUGCUAGGCACGCACACAGAUUUCGCUGUGCUUUAUGAUAUAAACACGGGUAGCAAGGUGUCUGUAUUUACUCCCACCAUACCCAAUCAGUACACCAAGAAUCGAGCCACACUUUGUCGCACAGAUGAGCUGCUGCUCUCAGAUGGCGUGCUCUGGGAUGUGCGUGCGGGCAAGGAGAUUCACAAGUUUGACAAGUUCAAUCAAUGCAUAUCAGGCGUCUUUCAUCCCAAUUGUCUGGAGAUCAUUGCCAACACUGAAGUCUGGGAUCUGCGCACGUUUCACUUGCUGCAAACGGUGCCGGUGCUGGAUCAGCGCAAUUGCACAUUUUCGCCCAUGCAUGUUAUAUAUGGCGCUAGCUUGGGCGCUGAUCGUGAUCAUGAUAUGGAGCAGACCACCUACGAUACGAGCUUCAAUGUGUUGGAUGCCUAUGAUUAUUCUAGCAUUGCCACCAUCGAUGUGCGGCGUAAUAUCAACGAUUUGAGCGUGAGCGCCAACGGCAGCCUGAUCGCCGUUGUGGAGGAUCACAAUGGUUACGAGUCGAAGCAGGAGACAUAUGUCCGCAUUUAUGCGGUGGGCGUCAAGAAGAGCGAGCGCUCGGAAGAGGUGCGUGCGGUUAAGGAUCUAGCCACAGCGGCGGCUAUCGACAACGUUGCCGAUCUUAGGGGCGGCGAGGCUGACAAUCAGCAGCCAGCAGGCGGUUUGGAUCUCAACGCCGCUGACUCUGCGCUUAUUCGCUUCGUCGAAGAGGCGGCACGGCCACACACGCCAGCGCCAAAUAUUGCGCUGCUUGAGGCAAAUGCCGAUGGCCGGGGCGCUGGCGUCGCCGCCGCUAUUAUCGGCGGACGUGGUCGUGCCAACCGUGUGGCGAAUUUAAAUCUGGCUCGCCAGAAUGCGACCAACAGCUCAAUUGUUGGUGUGCGACGGCGAGCACGUACACUGGGCGGUGCUGGCAAUGCACCCGUUGAUCUCAGAACGCUCAUGCGACAGAUGGAUGAUAUUGAAUUUAAUAUUAUGUCUAUGCUUACAGGAAGAUGAUGAGGAGGUGCCCGAAUCCAAUGAGGAGGGCUCCGAUACGGGUUCCGAAUCGGGCUCGGAAACAUUUGCACUCGGUCCAAAUUUCAUGGGC